rnacentral:rRNA from 1 species
GAUGAACGCUAGCGGGAGGCCUAACACAUGCAAGCCGAGCGGUAUUGUUUCUUCGGCAAUGAGAGAGCGGCGUACGGGUGCGUAACACGUGUGCAACCUGCCUUUAUCUGGGGGAUAGCCUUUCGAAAGGAAGAUUAAUACUCCAUAAUAUAUUGAACGGCAUCGUUUAAUAUUGAAAGCUCCGGCGGAUAGAGAUGGGCACGCGCAAGAUUAGCUAGUUGGUGAGGUAACGGCUCACCAAGGCGAUGAUCUUUAGGGGGCCUGAGAGGGUGAUCCCCCACACUGGUACUGAGACACGGACCAGACUCCUACGGGAGGCAGCAGUGAGGAAUAUUGGUCAAUGGGUGCAAGCCUGAACCAGCCAUCCCGCGUGAAGGACGACUGCCCUAUGGGUUGUAAACUUCUUUUGUAUAGGGAUAAACCUACACUCGUGAGGGUAGCUGAAGGUACUAUACGAAUAAGCACCGGCUAACUCCGUG